rnacentral:rRNA from 1 species
UGGGGGAUAUUGCGCAAUGGGGGCAACCCUGACGCAGCAACGCCGCGUGAAGGAUGAAGGUUUUCGGAUUGUAAACUUCUUUUAUUAAGGACGAAACUUGACGGUACUUAAUGAAUAAGCUCCGGCUAACUACGUGCCAGCAGCCGCGGUAAUACGUAGGGAGCAAGCGUUGUCCGGAUUUACUGGGUGUAAAGGGUGCGUAGGCGGCUUUGCAAGUCAGAUGUGAAAUCUAUGGGCUCAACCCAUAAACUGCAUUUGAAACUGUAGAGCUUGAGUGAAGUAGAGGCAGGCGGAAUUCCCCGUGUAGCGGUGAAAUGCGUAGAGAUGGGGAGGAACACCAGUGGCGAAGGCGGCCUGCUGGGCUUUAACUGACGCUGAGGCACGAAAGCGUGGGUAGCAAACAGGAUUAGAUACCCUGGUAGUCCACGCUGUAAACGAUGAUUACUAGGUGUGGGGGGUCUGACCCCUUCCGUGCCGGAGUUAACACAAUAAGUAAUCCACCUGGGGAGUACGGCCGCAAGGUUGAAACUCAAAGGAAUUGACGGGGGCCCGCACAAGCAGUGGAGUAUGUGGUUUAAUUCGAAGCAACGCGAAGAACCUUACCAGGUCUUGACAUCCAACUAACGAAGUAGAGAUACAUUAGGUGCCCUUCGGGGAAAGUUGAGACAGGUGGUGCAUGGUUGUCGUCAGCUCGUGUCGUGAGAUGUUGGGUUAAGUCCCGCAACGAGCGCAACCCUUGCUAUUAGUUGCUACGCAAGAGCACUCUAAUAGGACUGCCGUUGACAAAACGGAGGAAGGUGGGGACGACGUCAAAUCAUCAUGCCCCUUAUGACCUGGGCUACACACGUACUACAAUGGAUGUUAACAGAGGGAAGCAAGACAGCGAUGUGGAGCAAACCCCUAAAAACAUUCUCAGUUCAGACUGCAGGCUGCAACCCGCCUGCAUGAAGAUGGAAUUGCUAGUAAUCGCGGAUCAGCAUGCCGCGGUGAAUACGUUCCC